CAUCCCAUGUCCAUGGCUUUCUGUGGGUAUAGUUGGGGUUGUCUCGGUCUCCAUAACUCCCUCUGAAAUAAACAUCGCAACAUUAGUUGGAGGCUGGUGGGAGGAGCUAUUGUCACGAACGUCGUCAGGGAAAUGACCGGACCAAGGUGCAGCGUGCGGUGGUGGAAGUGGCGCUCACUGGGGGACUACACUUCGCACGCAGAAUGCAGACUGGGAGACUACAUGGUUCUGUUCAAUAGGCAGCAAACAGAAGAAAACUGAGUAAAAUGGAGAAUUACCUGGACUUGUCCAAUGACAAAUUCAAACGUUCUUAUUAUGUUGAAUGCGCCCUAAUGAACACGGCCCUCAAUUACCCCUGACCUUUAACCCCUACAUGGGCAAUGACCCAACAGGUUCAAUAGCACAGAUGCUAUAUG